CGCCCAGACUCCUACGGGAGGCAGCAGUGAGGAAUAUUGGUCAAUGGCCGAAGGGCUGAACCAGCCAAGCCGCGUGAAGGAAUAAGGCCCUACGGGUCGUAAACUUCUUUAGUCAGGGAACAAAGGGUGCCACGUGUGGCGCUGUGAGUGUACCUGAAGAAUAAGCAUCGGCUAACUCCGUGCCAGCAGCCGCGGUAAUACGGAGGAUGCGAGCGUUAUCCGGAUUUAUUGGGUUUAAAGGGUGCGUAGGCGGACAGUCAAGUCAGCGGUAAAAAUGCGGUGCUCAACGCCGUACAGCCGUUGAAACUGGCAGUCUUGAGUGGGCGAGAAGUAUGCGGAAUGCGUGGUGUAGCGGUGAAAUGCAUAGAUAUCACGCAGAACUCCGAUUGCGAAGGCAGCAUACCGGCGCCCGACUGACGCUGAGGCACGAAAGCGUGGGUAUCGAACAGGAUUAGAUACCCCAGUAUA
rnacentral:rRNA from 1 species